CUUCACCGAACCCAACAACAGCGGCGACUCCCGAUCCUGGCCGUAGGUCGCCAGCAACGCCUGCGCCUC
rfam:Actinophytocola xinjiangensis strain CGMCC 4.4663 contig55, whole genome shotgun sequence.